GACGAACGCUGGCGGCGUGCUUAACACAUGCAGGUCGAACGGAAAGGCCCUGCUUUUGUGGGGUGCUCGAGUGGCGAACGGGUGAGUAACACGUGAGUAACCUGCCCUUGACUUUGGGAUAACUUCAGGAAACUGGGGCUAAUACCGGAUAGGAGCUCCUGCUGCAUGGUGGGGGUUGGAAAGUUUCGGUGGUUGGGGAUGGACUCGCGGCUUAUCAGCUUGUUGGUGGGGUAGUGGCUUACCAAGGCUUUGACGGGUAGCCGGCCUGAGAGGGUGACCGGCCACAUUGGGACUGAGAUACGGCCCAGACUCCUACGGGAGGCAGCAGUGGGGAAUAUUGCACAAUGGGCGGAAGCCUGAUGCAGCAACGCCGCGUGCGGGAUGACGGCCUUCGGGUUGUAAACCGCUUUCGCCUGUGACGAAGCGUGAGUGACGGUAAUGGGUAAAGAAGCACCGGCUAACUACG
rnacentral:rRNA from 1 species